UUUCGAUUCAUGUAAUUAAUUUACGCCCUGAAAAAAGGUUAUUGACUGUAGUUGGUGCAAUCGUUUAUUGGGUUCCUAGCUAUAUGUAUUUAUAGAAUCCGGCUAUAGUACUUCCAGAAGCGUAAAAGAGUUAGUGCGUUCAAUUUUUUAACCCUUGUGUUAACCCUUUUGAUCAUUUCUAACAUUCAAUUAAUAUUAUUUUUUUAUGGGGACCAGUAAAUUCUAGAAAGACCAUUCAAUCUUAGGAGGAGAUUAAUCUUAGAAGGAGAUUACUAUCAUCCCAACCGUACAGUUUUUAAUUCAAAGACUAAAAAGUCGAAAGUGUCAAUUCCUUUAUGUUUUCGAAAUUAUAGUAACUCUACAUUUAAUGAUCGAUAUGGUGCUUUCUGAAUUUAACGGUUUAAAACAAUCCAAAUUUGAUAAAAUUUUUAUAUAUAUUUUUUUCACUAUUUAGAGUAAGAUCAGUAGUUUUAAUCUUAAGUUCAAAUUUUUUAUCAUAAUUUUUUAUAAAAUUUUUAUUUUCAACCGUUCAUUUUUAAACUACUCGUUUGAUGUGUAAAUUAUGUCGAAUAAUUAUGAAAUUCAAUUUUCAAAUACUUUCAAUAGCAUAGAUCAAAUCUAACUGAGCCGAUCAUCGAUUUGAAAGCCAACUUGGUAGUAU
rnacentral:lncRNA from 1 species